UCAAGAACUGCUGAAGAAGGAUACCCCAG
rnacentral:piRNA from 1 species